AUACGGAGGAUGCGAGCGUUAUCCGGAUUUAUUGGGUUUAAAGGGUGCGUAGGCUGUGCGUUAAGUCAGGGGUGAAAUGCCGUCGCUCAACGACGGAGCUGCCCUUGAUACUGGCGUGCUGGAGUACGGAUGCCGUUGGAGGAAUGAGUGGUGUAGCGGUGAAAUGCUUAGAUAUCACUCAGAACACCGAUUGCGAAGGCAUCUGACGAAUCCGUCACUGACGCUGAGGCACGAAAGCGUGGGGAAAGAACAGGAUUAGAUACCCUGGUAUUCCACGCCGUAAACGAUGAUGACUAACCGUCGGCGAUAGACAGCCGGUGGCCAAGCGAAAGCGAUAAGUCAUCCACCUGGGGAGUACGUCGGCAACGAUGAAACUCAAAUGAAUUGGCGGGG
rnacentral:rRNA from 1 species